GACGCUGGCGGCGGGCCUAACACAUGCAAGUCGAACGAACUCGACCUUCGGGUCAUAUAGUGAGUGGCGAACGGGUGAGUAACACGUGAGAAACCUGCCCCGAAGACUGGAACAACCCGAGGAAACUCGGGCUAAUACCGGAUACCCCCAUCGGAUCGCAUGGUCUGAUGAGGAAAUGCUCCGGCGCUUCGGGAGGGUCUCGCGGCCUAUCAGCUAGUUGGUGAGGUAACGGCUCACCAAGGCAACGACGGGUAGCUGGUCUGAGAGGACGAUCAGCCACACUGGGACUGAGACACGGCCCAGACUCCUACGGGAGGCAGCAGUGGGGAAUAUUGCGCAAUGGGCGAAAGCCUGACGCAGCCACGCCGCGUGCGGGAUGAAGGCUCUAGGGUUGUAAACCGCUUUAGGCAGGGAAGAAAAUGACGGUACCUGCAGAAUAAGGUCCGGCCAACUAUGUGCCAGCAGCCGCGGUAAUACAUAGGGACCGAGCGUUGUCCGGAUUUAUUGGGCGUAAAGAGCUCGUAGGCGGUUCGGUAAGUCAGGUGUGAAAGCUCGAGGCUCAACCUCGAGAAGCCACCUGAUACUGCCGUGACUUGAGUCCGGUAGAGGAGUGUGGAAUUCCUGGUGUAGCGGUGAAAUGCGCAGAUAUCAGGAGGAACACCAAUUGCGAAGGCAGCACUCUGGGCCGGUACUGACGCUGAGGAGCGAAAGCGUGGGGAGCGAACAGGAUUAGAUACCCUGGUAGUCCACGCCGUAAACGUUGGGCACUAGGUGUGGGAUCGAACUAACCGAUUCCGUGCCGCAGCUAACGCAUUAAGUGCCCCGCC
rnacentral:rRNA from 1 species